rnacentral:rRNA from 1 species
UUGAACGCUGGCGGCAUGCUUUACACAUGCAAGUCGAACGGUAACGCGGGGGCAACCCUGGCGACGAGUGGCGGACGGGUGAGUAAUGCUUGGGAAUCUGCCUAUCAGUGGGGGACAACCCGGGGAAACUCGGGCUAAUACCGCAUACGCUCCACGGAGGAAAGCGGGGGACCGUAAGGCCUCGCGCUGAUAGAUGAGCCCAAGUCGGAUUAGCUAGUUGGUGGGGUAAAGGCCUACCAAGGCGACGAUCCGUAGCUGGUCUGAGAGGACGAUCAGCCACACUGGGACUGAGACACGGCCCAGACUCCUACGGGAGGCAGCAGUGGGGAAUAUUGGACAAUGGGGGCAACCCUGAUCCAGCAAUGCCGCGUGUGUGAAGAAGGCCUGCGGGUUGUAAAGCACUUUCAGCAGGGAAGAAAAGCUCGGAGCUAACACCUCCGGGAAUUGACGUAACCUGUAGAAGAAGCACCGGCUAACUCCGU